AGAUGGCGACCGGCGCACGGGUGAGUAACACGUAUCCAACCUGCCGGUGACUCGGGGAUAGCCUUUCGAAAGAAAGAUUAAUACCCGAUGGCAUAGUUCUUCCGCAUGGUAGAACUAUUAAAGAAUUUCGGUCAUCGAUGGGGAUGCGUUCCAUUAGGUUGUUGGCGGGGCAACGGCCCACCAAGCCUUCGAUGGAUAGGGGUUCUGAGAGGAAGGUCCCCCACAUUGGAACUGAGACACGGUCCAAACUCCUACGGGAGGCAGCAUG
rnacentral:rRNA from 1 species